GUAGCUCAGUUGGUUAGAGCGUGUGGCUGUUAACCACGAGGUUGAAGGUUCAAGUCCUUCC
rfam:Ipomoea nil DNA, scaffold: scaffold0164, cultivar: Tokyo-kokei standard.